rnacentral:rRNA from 1 species
UACGUAGGGUGCAAGCGUUAAUCGGAAUUACUGGGCGUAAAGCGUGCGCAGGCGGUUCUGUAAGAUAGAUGUGAAAUCCCCGGGCUCAACCUGGGAAUUGCAUAUAUGACUGCAGGACUUGAGUUUGUCAGAGGAGGGUGGAAUUCCACGUGUAGCAGUGAAAUGCGUAGAUAUGUGGAAGAACACCGAUGGCGAAGGCAGCACUCUGGGACAUGACUGACGCUCAUGCACGAAAGCGUGGGGAGCAAACAGG